CGGAAGGAUCAUUACCUAGAGUUGUAGGCUUUGCCUGCUAUCUCUUACCCAUGUCUUUUGAGUACCUUCGUUUCCUCGGCGGGUCCGCCCGCCGAUUGGACACAUUUAAACCCUUUGUAGUUGCAAUCAGCGUCUGAAAAACUUUAAUAGUUACAACUUUCAACAACGGAUCUCUUGGUUCUGGCAUCGAUGAAGAACGCAGCGAAAUGCGAUAAGUAGUGUGAAUUGCAGAAUUCAGUGAAUCAUCGAAUCUUUGAACGCACAUUGCGCCCCUUGGUAUUCCAUGGGGCAUGCCUGUUCGAGCGUCAUUUGUACCUUCAAGCUUUGCUUGGUGUUGGGUGUUUGUCUCGCCUCUGCGCGCAGACUCGCCUCAAAACAAUUGGCAGCCGGCGUAUUGAUUUCGGAGCGCAGUACAUCUCGCGCUUUGCACUCAUAACGACGACGUCCAAAAAGUACAUUUUUUACACUCUUGACCUCGGAUCA
rnacentral:rRNA from 1 species